rfam:Lupinus angustifolius cultivar Tanjil contig_44292, whole genome shotgun sequence.
GAGCCGUAUGCGGUGAGAGUCGCACGUACGGUAACGAGGGGGGUUUUCAUUUAUACGUGUAGUGCGGUGGUUGGGCCUACCCACCCUAU